AACACAUGCAAGUCGAGGGCGAACGCGAGUAGCGAAUACUUGGCGGCGACCGGCGGCAAGGGUGCGUAACGCGUGAGCAACAUGCCCGUAUCAGGGGGAUAAUCCAGGGAAACUUGGUCUAAUACCCCAUAGUAAUUUUGUAAGGCAUCUUAUAAGAUUUAAAGCUUUGGUGGAUACGGAUUGGCUCGCGUGACAUUAGCUGGAUGGUAAGGUAACGGCUUACCAUGGCUAUGAUGUCUAGGGGUUCUGAGAGGAAGGUCCCCCACACUGGAACUGAGACACGGUCCAGACUCCUACGGGAGGCAGCAGUGAGGAAUAUUGGACAAUGGAUGGAAAUCUGAUCCAGCCAUGCCGCGUGAAGGAAGAAGGUCCUAUGGAUUGUAAACUUCUUUUGUAUGGGAGCAAUAAGGCCUACGUGUAGGUUGAUGAGAGUACCAUACGAAUAAGCACCGGCUAACUCCGUGCCAGCCGCCGC
rnacentral:rRNA from 1 species